rnacentral:rRNA from 1 species
GUCUACGGCCAUACCACCCUGAACGCGCCCGAUCUCGUCUGAUCUCGGAAGCUAAGCAGGGUCGGGCCUGGUUAGUACUUGGAUGGGAGAGAAAAUCCUUUUGUUUUCAACAGGAGACCACAGGUCCUGGAGUUU